GAUGAAGAACGUAGCGAAAUGCGAAAAGUAGUGUGAAUUGCAGAAUUCAGUGAAUCAUCGAAUCUUUGAACGCACAUUGCGCCCCUUGGUAUUCCAUGGGGCAUGCCUGUUCGAGCGUCAUUUUGUACCCUCAAGCACUGCUUGGUGUUGGGCGUUUGUCUUGCAGAGGACUCGCCUGAAAGCGAUUGGCGGCCAACGUAGUCGUGGCAGAGCGCAGCACAAUCUCGCGUCUCUCCCCUCUGCGUCGGCGUCCAUGAAGCCCACAAUCUCAACGUUUGACCUCGGAUCAGGUAGGGAUACCCGCUGAACUUAAGCAUAUCAAUAAGCGGAGGA
rnacentral:misc_RNA from 1 species